rnacentral:misc_RNA from 1 species
GAUGAAGAACGCAGCGAAAUGCGAUAAGUAAUGUGAAUUGCAGAAUUCAGUGAAUCAUCGAAUCUUCGAACGCACAUUGCGCCCGCCAGUAUUCUGGCGGGCAUGCCUGUUCGAGCGUCAUUACAACCCUCAGGCCCCCGGGCCUGGCGUUGGGGAUCGGCGGAAGCCCCCUGCGGGCACAACGCCGUCCCCCAAAUACAGUGGCGGUCCCGCCGCAGCUUCCAUUGCGUAGUAGCUAACACCUCGCAACUGGAGAGCGGCGCGGCCACGCCGUAAAACACCCAACUUCUGAAUGUUGACCUCGAAUCAGGUAGGAAUACCCGCUGAACUUAAGCAUAUCAAUAAGCGGAGGA